CAAAGCUGGGAGGGAUAGCUAAAUCACUGGAUGGCAGAAUCCAAAAGAUCUAGAAGACCAAAUCAAAUGAUAAUUAUAACAAUGGGACGGACAAAUCUGAUAAGAUAAGUCCUGUCAAGUUCCAGAAUAGAGGGCUUAAGCUGAAUUUGAGGAAAAUGUUUUAUCCAUGCAUUGAAGGACUGCCUAAAAAGAAAACAGUUGAAGAUUAGUGAAUAAGAUUAGGAAACUGAGGCCUAAGGAGAUUGUAUGACCUGCUGAAGGUCACACUGUAAGAUAAGCAGAAGAGAAAGGAUGUAAAUCGAGAUCUAAUUCCACAGCCAUUGCUUUUUGGACC